rnacentral:rRNA from 1 species
GAUGAACGCUGGCGGCGUGCCUAAUACAUGCAAGUCGAGCGAACGGACGAGAAGCUUGCUUCUCUGAUGUUAGCGGCGGACGGGUGAGUAACAUGUGGAUAGCCUACCUAUAAGACUGGGAUAACUUCGGGAAACCGUAGCUAAUACCGGAUAAUAUUUUGAACCGCAUGGUUCAAAAGUGAAAGACGGUCUUGCUGUCACUUAUAGAUGGAUCCGCGCUGCAUUAGCUAGUUGGUAAGGUAACGGCUUACCAAGGCAACGAUGCAUAGCCGACCUGAGAGGGUGAUCGGCCACACUGGAACUGAGACACGGUCCAGACUCCUACGGGAGGCAGCAGUAGGGAAUCUUCCGCAAUGGGCGAAAGCCUGACGGAGCAACGCCGCGUGAGUGAUGAAGGUCUUCGGAUCGUAAAACUCUGUUAUUAGGGAAGAACAUAUGUGUAAGUAACUGUGCACAUCUUGACGGUACCUAAUCAGAAAGCCACGGCUAACUACGUG